UACAACACUUAGCUGUAGUCCGUUGUUUUCUCCUGCUUGCAGACGAAUAAGAUUCUGUUAUCUUUCAUCCGUGUAUGCGUGUGUGUGUGUGUGCGCGCGCGCUCACGUAGAUAGUAAAAAUUGGUGUUUAAAAUGGGUAUCGUUUUUGAUAAAGAUAUGAUCGAAUAUAUUUACAUGUAAUGAUGAGUGCACAUAUGAGCAAUUGUACACGUGGUCGUAUUAUAUGUACAGUAUUCCUAUACAAUUUCGUGGUGUAGAAUUCAUUAAAUGAAAAUGUAGUGAUUGUUUUAAAACUUUUUAGCUUUUAUUAAACCGCUCAAACACAGCUAUUUCGACAGACAUUUUAAAAACAUUCAUUUAUCGUUUCUAAAAUAUUUCCCGCAGUUUCCUGGUUAAAUAAACAUUAUUUCCUUCAAAGUGGUUUAUAAAAUUGACUGCCUUGACUGUAAUGCUACUUAUAUAGGACAAACGAAAGACACCUCGAAACUCGAAUUAAAGAACACAAAACCGAUAUUAGGAAGCACGUCAGUACUUAAUCAUUCUGUAAUAAGCAAACAUCGGAUUGAAUUUAAUCACGAGUUUGAUUGAGCGGGAACGAGAAUAUUACAUAUAGAGAAAAACGUUAAAAAAAGAGAGAUUGCAGAGAUGUUUUUCAUAAAAAAAACACACAGGCAAUAAACCUACAGAAGGACACCGAUAACUUAACAACAAUUUAUGACAAAAUAAUAGGCAUGUAACCUUCACGUGUUUUAAAUAAUUUGGCCUUACGCAUUGUGUUCUCCGCAGUCGUGAUAUACGGACGUGCUUCCUAACACGCUCUAAUACACAUUUAAUUUUAUACUAAUUUGACGUCUUAUUAUUUUCUUUUUUACAAUAUAUUUUACCAAUACUGACAUCAUUAUAUUUGCUGACAACGCACAAAGCAUUCUUCAGUUUCUGACUUGCGGGAACAUUGUCACGAAUUGCCUGUCGAAUGCUUGUGUAAGAGUUCACCUGAAGAGGGUCCAAAUUUGGACCAAAACGUUGUGAUUUUUUAUGAAUAAAUAUGCCAGGCAUAGUCAAUUGAA